rnacentral:sRNA from 1 species
AAAAAGCGCUUGUUGUUCUGACCUUUCGUGCGUAAUUGGUUAAGGAAAUUUGGCGCAAAUAAAGUCACGUGCAUCAAAAUCAGACCAAAUAUCAUAUAAAAGAAGUUGACGUCUCGUUUAUUCGUCACAUUAGUUUUAUUAAAGUCCAACAUGCAAUCAAAGAUUCUAGGUCUCUUAGCGGUCCUCGCCGUUUGUGUAAUUUUGUGUGUUAGCUUCUCGGAAGGAAGGUACUACCCUGGGAAAAUAACAUGCCCGCCUGUGUGUGCUAUCUACUGCGAUUAUGGCAACGUGCUGGAUCAUAAUGGAUGUGAUACCUGCGCCUGCAAUCCAGCACCUGGAUACUAUUAGAAACAACCACUAACUUUAUAUAUCUACUUAAAGGAUGGUUGUCUGUGUAUACAAGAAGUCAGAGAAAGGCUUUAAGUACUUUGUUAACUAUUUUACAGAAUAAAAUUUGAAGAAG